GGGCCCGCACAAGCGGUGGAUUAUGUGGUUUAAUUCGAAGCAACGCGCAGAACCUUACCUAGGCUUGACAUCCCACGACAACCGUAGAAAUACGGCUUUGUAGCAAUACACGUGGAGACAGGUGCUGCAUGGCUGUCGUCAGCUCGUGUUGUGAAAUGUUGGGUUAAGUCCCGCAACGAGCGCAACCCCUGGAUUUAGUUGCCAGCAUUAAGUUGGGCACUCUAAAUUAACUGCCAGCGUUAAGCUGGAGGAAGGUGGGGAUGACGUCAAGUCCUCAUGGCCCUUACGCCUAGGGCUACACACGUAAUACAAUGGAUAGGACAAAGGGUCGCGAACCUGCGAGGGGGAGCUAAUCUCAAAAACCUAUCCUCAGUUCGGAUUGGAGGCUGCAAUUCGCCUCCAUGAAGGCGGAAUCGCUAGUAAUCGUGGAUCAGAACGCCACGGUGAAUACGUUCCCGGGCCUU
rnacentral:rRNA from 1 species